UAUACCAGUGUUCAGGUUAAUGGUUAAGGGUUGGUAUUUAAAGUAUACUGCAGUUUCUUUUAGUUAAUAAUACAUCAUCCCAUGGGUUCUGAAGAAUCUGUCAAAACAAAUAAUGGCAAACUAGACCAAUGCUUCAUUUGGACUCGAGGCUGCCUUGGACAAAAUGAAUCUGGUUAUCCGUUUCCAAUAGACAGGAGUCAUUAAUUUCCUUAGGAGAGAUCUAUAGAACUGGAAUGCUUGAGUCUCAUAGAUGUUUUUAAAUCUCUUGUUCCAUUUAGAAUUGUUUCUAUUUUACUGGUGUUUCUCACUGUUGCCUGUAGUAACAUCAGGUAUUUCUCAGUUUUUAGAAUGAACUAUUUGUUUCUUUAAACACAGGACCCCACACCUUGGAUUUCACAGUCUAUUGAAAUCAAGGUCAACUGGAAACUAAUACUCUGCUUCCAUUCAUUUUGUGCCUUCAGACUUCAACCGAAACCACUGAGAGAGGAUAGCCUCAAAUACCAUGCUUGGGUUUCAAUGCCAUGAGGGGUUAGCAAACGAAGAUGGCCGUCCCCGCUAUCGCUUACAGAAGAUGACCCACAUAGAUGGCUAAGAACUGAAUCAAAUCUAUUCUGACCAAGGGAAAAAUGCAACAAUCCUUAGAAAGACAAGCCAACAAGCUGAGCCUCACUAAUACACAGCACUGGCAGGUAACCCCCGGACCUCUCUCCAGGCCUGCUUCCUGUCCUGGGAGGCUCACUGUGACGUCCUCAACUGGGGCUCCAUUUCAAGGGACUUCUGAGAUGUCAGACUUCCAGACAGAGAUGGAGGGAGGGGGAGAGGGGUCAGGAUCUUCAUCAUCCUGACUCCCUCCCUGCCUCAGGGCCUUGAACUCCUGGGCCCCUCUGUCUGUGUUCUCUGCACCCCCCAGUUGGAUGGCCAACUCAGUACCACUGUAUUCCCGGCUCCCAGGAAAGGAAGGAGAGGUGGAACUAGUCAGGCUUCUCUGCUAUUCUAAUGGUUUCCCUGGGCCUCACCUUUGUAAACAGCGUAUCCAUAAAUAAACUCUGCUCAAAUCAUCUGAUCGUGAACGUGCCACGUGUGUCUUGUUGGGACACUGACUGACACCACAGCUAUGUAUUUUCCUCAGAGGACGUUUCAAUACAUCCCACAGGAUUUUAUUCCUCAUCUUCUCAUUCGCAAUAUUUAUUUAACUAUCAUGCCAUUGUGAUCUUGACUUCUUUAAGCUAAGAGUUAUUUAGGAGGAAGAUUCAAAAUGUAUAGGUAGGCUUUUUU